GUUUGAUCCUGGCUCAGAACGAACGCUGGCGGCAGGCUUAACACAUGCAAGUCGAACGCCCCGCAAGGGGAGUGGCAGACGGGUGAGUAACACGUGGGAACAUACCCUUUGGUGCGGAACAACAGCUGGAAACGGCUGCUAAUACCGCAUGCGCCCUACGGGGGAAAGAUUUAUCGCCGAAGGAUUGGCCCGCGUCUGAUUAGCUAGUUGGUGAGGUAAUGGCUCACCAAGGCGACGAUCAGUAGCUGGUCUGAGAGGAUGAUCAGCCACACUGGGACUGAGACACGGCCCAGACUCCUACGGGAGGCAGCAGUGGGGAAUAUUGGACAAUGGGCGCAAGCCUGAUCCAGCCAUGCCGCGUGAGUGAUGAAGGCCUUAGGGUUGUAAAGCUCUUUCAGCGAGGAGGAUAAUGACGUUACUCGCAGAAGAAGCCCCGGCUAACUUCGUGCCAGCAGCCGCGGUAAUACGAAGGGGGCUAGCGUUGUUCGGAAUCACUGGGCGUAAAGCGCACGUAGGCGGACUUUUAAGUCAGGGGUGAAAUCCCGGGGCU
rnacentral:rRNA from 1 species